rnacentral:tRNA from 1 species
GCCUGUUUGGUGAAAUUGGUAGACACGUCAGACUUAAAAUCUGGUUCUUUUUAGAGUAUCGGUUCAAGUCCGAUAGCAGGUA